AUUUCAGCCAUCAAAAAAAAUCGGGAGAGCAACAAGGGAGUGAAAGUGAAUUGCACAUCUGCCAUGCUGUGGAUGGAAAAGGCACGGUGUUAUGGAGGAAUGCAUAGAAAGGGAAAGGUGACCCUUUUCUUCUGCAAAAUAUGCUGAGCUUGUUCCUUCCCCCUCAAAACUUCGAUGCCGGAGAGAACGAGGAAGCCAUAUGCCACCAAUUAACCCAGCAAGAAUUCAUCUUCCCUCCCCUGGUGUUCUUCUGGUCAAAGUGGAAGUGAGAGAUUGAACAUGCUUUUCUUUAAUGAGAAAAUUGGGACUAUGCCCUGGUCAUGUCAAGGAGCCAGGUGCUGGAUGCAUGACCUCAGGGACUGGCUUGGGGAAAGGUAUAGGUCCCUAAAGCAGCCAUAUGGCUAGGCUAGGAACACAGAAGAGAGAGGGUGUGUGCAUCAUGAGGAGGUUAAAGAAGGAGCUGUUAUUUCCUACAGCUGGGCAGUGGGGUGGAUGAUGGGAUAGCAUGGCAUGGAACGGGGUGAGGAGGAAGGCCACAGGCACAUCUUGGCAUUGCACUUUGUAACAAGAUUUGAAAACUAUUCUGUUCUUGGCUUGAAAGUAUUAUUUCCUGUUUAAUUGUGUGGCACUUACUUCAAGGAGUAAGUACAUCAAGGAGCCCCGGUGGCGAAGUGCGUUAAUGCACUGAGCUGGAGACCAAAAGGUCCCAGAUUCAAUCCCCAGGAGCGGCCGCUGUUAGCUCCAGCUCUUGCCAACCUAGCAGUUCGAAAACAUGCCAAUGUGAGUAGAUCAAUAGGUACCGUUCUGGCGGGAAGGUAAGGGCACUCCAUGCAGUCAUGCCGGCCAUGUGACCUUGGAGGUGUCUACGGACAACGCCGGCUCUUCGGCUUAGAAAUGGAGAUGAGCACCAACCCCCAGAGUCAGACAUGACUGGACUUAACGUCAGGGGAAACCUUUACUUUUACUACUUACUUCGAAAGUAGUUGUUAUAAUCCAUAGUUUUUGUGGCUGCCACAAACUAUGUUGAAUUGAUUGAGACUCGAUGAGAUAUUCACUGAAAAACUAAAGCAAAAUAUGCUGCAAGUUGUCCCACAAAAACAACAUUAUUGCAGUUUAAUAAACUUUUUUCAUGUUUUUAUGAUAGAACCAAUUAGGAAAUGACAUUUAUAACCCAGGAACAAGGAUCGUGUUACAUAGUGUUACUACCCCGCUUGCCUAAGCUCCUCCCAAGCCACACAAGGCCCCAAAACAGAUCUUGGAAAAGAGACUUUUAUUUAUUUAAGCUGACAGAAUCCACCCCACAAUAUGAUCAGUUGUUAUGUUGGUUGGAUGUUUCUGGAAGAAGUGGGUUCAAACUGGCUUUACCUGAAAAUCUAAUAGUCAUUUUGCACAGAACAUAGAAGCAUGUUUUGGUUUGGGGUGCUGAAGAUCCGAAUGGUCCAAAAUGUGGCAGCCAGGCUGCUAGCAGGAUCAUCUAUAAGAUCCCAUAUUACACUGAUUCUGAAACAACUGCAUUGGCUACCAAUAGAACAUCGGAUCUCUUACAAGAUACUGAUCCUGACAUUUAAAGCUUGAAAUGGCCAAGGACCAUUAUAUCUUAGGGACCGCCUCAUUCCUUUUUUCCAUCAGUGGUCACCUCGAUCUUCCCAGGAAAAUCUCCUAUACGUACUGGGCCCUAGGGGGGUACACCUGGAGACUACAAGGUGCAGAGCCUUUUCGACCUAUGCUCUAAUUUUGUGGAACUCAUUGCCUCCAUAUGUUACAGCAAUGUUGGAGUUGCGACCUUUUGUAAAAGCGCUCAAGACUUGGCUGUUUGGUUGUGUAUUUAAGUAACUUAGAUCUAAUUUGCCAAAUAGUCACUGUUGAAUGUUUUUAUGCUGAAUGUUUCUAUAUUGUGGAGUGAUAUUUCAAAUUGUAAGUCGCUCGGAGCACUCUGGUGGAGAGCGACUAAUUAAGAAAUAAAGUGAAGUGAAGUGAAGUAAAGUGAUUAUAUAUCCUUUCGUUCUGCUUCCCAAAAUGCCCACCUAGACCACACCAUUACCACCACCACAAUUUCAAUGGAAGGCUCUCAUAUUCACAGGGAGCUGUUCUUCUCCCAAUAAUGGUCUGCAUGGGGAUGGAUAACCCAAGAUAGGUUAGCAGGGCUGUAGCCAGAAAAAAAAUUCGGGAGGGGUUUUGAAAAUUUCAGGGGGGGGGGGUUGAACCCCUAAAAAAAAACCUCGCUACAGGCCUGUAUGUUAGCCUUCUGAGGUGGACACAAAGAUGGUGCCCCAAUUCUCCAUUCCAUGCAAAGAGCCAACUGAAUACCUAACAGUGGAAAAGCCAAAUAACUUGUCUUGUCCAGAAUUUGCCAUCUGAGGAGUCUGUUUCACUCUGUCUAAUAGUUGGGCCAGUUCUGUUACUUUCACAAAUAAAUGCAUAUGCUAAGACAGUGGUUCUCAACCUGGGUUCCCCAGGUGUUUUUGUCCUACAACUCCCAGAAAUCCCAGCCAGUUUACCAGCUGUUAGGGUUUCUGGGAGUUUAGGGCUAAAAACAACUGGGGACUGCAGCUUGAGAACUACUGUCAUAGAAAGAUAGGACACUAGUUAGACAAAUUCUGAUUUGGACCAAUCAAGGUAUGACUCCAAAGCAAAAUGGUCCUACUAUAGCAGCAAGGGCUGAUUUUCUUUUGCAAGGGUAACUCUGCUAUCAUAGCAAAUUGCUUCUGGAAAGGCAAAAGGGAAACACAGAUACAACCUUGCCCUUACCCUAACCCUAACCCUUUGACCUUCUCUUGAAGAUUCAGCCAUGACAGAAGUAAACGCAUGUGCUAGCGCAGGUAUGGGCAAACCUCGGCCCUCCAGGUGUUUUGGACUUCAACUCCCAUAAUUCCUAAUAGCCUACCAGCUCUUAGGAAUUGUGGGAGUUGAAGUCCAAAACACCCGGAGGGCCGAGGUUUGCCCAUGCCUGCGCUAGUGGCUAGUACUUACAGUCAAACAUUCCAAGAAACAGAUUUGUGCACAUUGCUUUUCAGGAAAUGCUAAUAAAUCUGGAAUAGGGCAUGUAUACCUCACCAGAUGUUAUUGGAUCCCACCAUCUUUCAUCAUUGACUAUAUUGGUUAAGGUUGAUGGUAGUUAUGAUCCAACAUUCAGAGGGCCACAUACUCUCCAUCUUUGGGGGGAGAAAUGCUAGAGUGAUCCAAGGGAUGGUGGUAGUCUGGGGUGCAACUGGAGGGAAUAGAAUAAAAAUAAGGGAGCAGUGGAAACAUAAGGAAAGAAGGGAAGAACAUCUUGAAAAAUGUUUUGUUCAUGUUUCAUCUGUUGUGUAACAUAGAGUCAUAGUGAUUAAUUUACUGUCCAAAUGAACACACAAAUGCAAGUAGUCAAGUCCACCAACAGGUCGUAUUCAGCAAGUUUUUGCAGGUGAGUAUGUCACGCACUGCUGGGAAGUCCAGCAUGCAUCGGCAAAAAUAUGUACGUGCAAUGACUUGUUUACAGUAGGUAAAGGUAAAGGUUUUCCCCUAACGUUAAGUCCAGUCUGACUCUGGGGGUUGGUACUCAUCUCCAUUUCUAAGCCGAAGAGCUGGCGUUGUCCGUAGACACCUCCAAGGUCAUGUGGCCGGCAUGACUGCAUGGUGCACCGUUACUUUCCCGCCAGAGCGGUACCUAUUGAUCUACUCACAUUGGCAUGUUUUCGAACUGCUAGGUUGGCAGAAGCUGGAGCUAACAGCGGCUGCUCACGCCGCUCCCGGGGUUUGAACCUGGGACCUUUCGGUCUGCAAGUUCAGCAGCUCAGUGCUUUAACACACUUCGCCACCGGGGUUAUUUACAAUACUGUAAAUAGGUGACAUGUAUGAAAUCUAAUUUAGAAUCAUAGAAUCAUAGAGUUGGAAGAGAUCUUGCGGGCCAUUCAGUCCAACCCCCUGCUAAGAUGCAAGAAAAUCACAUUCAAAGCAUAAUUUAGAUUGUUUCUGAAUUGUAUGACAAGCAGUUAAUAAAAGUCCAAGUGCAAUAAGAAUUUUUUUUAAAAAAAUUAAUCCACACUGCUAACAAAAAUAAAGUAAAACAUUAAUACAUUGAUAGCAGCAUACCAGGUUUACCCUUCUCAUUUAGGAUUAUUUUUAAUGUUAUUCAUAAUUUUUAUAUUAGUAUUAUCCUUCAUUAUCUUAAUUUUCUGUGUAUAAUGCAAAUUUUAAUAUGGUUGAUUUUAAUAAAUAAUUGUAUAAUUUCAA